GACAGAGGUGCCGAGCGUUAGGCGGAAUCACUGGGCUUAAAGCGUGUGUAGGCGGAUCGUUAAGUACCUUGUGAAAUCCCACGGCUUAACCGUGGAACUGCUGGGUAUACUGGCGAUCUUGAGCCACCUAGGGGCAACCGGAACAAAUGGUGGGGCGGUGAAAUGCGUAGAUAUCAUUUGGAACGCCAAUGGUGAAAACAGGUUGCUGGGGGUGUGCUGACGCUGAGACACGAAAGCCAGGGGAGCGAACGGG
rnacentral:rRNA from 1 species